UGGAAGGUGUCUCUGAGAGGUAAUGCC
rnacentral:piRNA from 1 species